CCUUUUUUGCUAGGUGUCUAACCGAAAUUAGAUUUACGUCUAGCUCGGGCACCCAUAGAGCGUUGGAUAGGGAUAGCGUCCAGCCACCACAGGACUCCGCCAUCUUUACGAUGAUUGUUCCCCUUUCCUUGACUUCCAGGUACCCCUUGCCGAUUCUGAUCUGUCCCGUCGCGGGCGUGAAUUCUACGAAUCGGUGUCUGUCCGGUGUCGUGUGGUUUGAGGCGCCUGAGUCCAGGUAACUUAUCAUACCCCUACUCAUAUGGCUGAUCGAAGACAAAGCCAGAGUCGAUAUAAGUCCCUUAGAUCUUGG
rnacentral:misc_RNA from 1 species